rnacentral:tRNA from 1 species
GGGCUCGUAGCGCAGUAUGGAUAGCGCGGCAGCCUCCUAAGCUGUAGGUCGUGGGUUCAAAUCCCACCGGGCCCG